AUAUUUUACAGAUAUUUUUUUGAGUGCACGCUAUACAGCACGGUUAAGGAAAAUGAUGGAGAACGUAGCAAGAAAAUCGUGCGGCGUGGAAAGUGCCUGACUCCCCCCUUUCCCAAUUCAAGCAUAUCCCCACCCAGAGCAGUGCGUAAUCCGUUCGACUUAAUAAGCCACGUUCCUGCUGGAGUAUUUGAUCUGGAUUUGGAAUCGGGAGGUGUUAAGUGGCUCCCCACCUGAAUGCCGCACCGAAGCCACCAGACGAACGUCUCACUCGACUAUGCAAAUAUUGACAGGGAACGCAUUCGUAUGCUUAAUUUGACUCAAUUUAUUGUUGUUUGCUUUACUUUUUCCCAGCCGAGUCCUUAAUUUCCGCCUUGUAUUCUUUUUCUAACUGACUAAUAAAUCACAAAAUCGGACAGCCAGUGACGAAGAAAGGGGACGAGCUGGGCGCCUAAUUGCCGUGGUAUUGAUUUUUAUACUCUCCUGACCUAUGUGUGAACUUUGGAAGGGAGAUGGCGCCAAAGAAUAUGAUACACAAAAAACGAUAGCCUUAACUGGGAUUGAUGACAUGCUUAAUUAUUGCAUCAUUUAAAAAAGACUCGUAAUGUUCAACAAAAUGGUACUAAAUACAAUUUUCAAUGUCAGAUAUUGAAAUGUAUCUCAGAU
ensembl:ncRNA lncRNA:CR44618 long non-coding RNA:CR44618